CACUGCUGUAUGAGAUAGGCCA
rnacentral:piRNA from 1 species